rnacentral:rRNA from 1 species
UACGGAGGGGGCUAGCGUUGUUCGGAAUUACUGGGCGUAAAGCGCGCGUAGGCGGACCUGCAAGUCGGGGGUGAAAGCCCGAGGCUCAACCUCGGAACUGCCUUCGAUACUGCGGGUCUCGAGUCCGGGAGAGGUGAGUGGAAUUCCUAGUGUAGAGGUGAAAUUCGUAGAUAUUGGGAAGAACACCGAUGGCGAAGGCAGCCUCCUGGGCCGAGACUGACGCUCGUGCA